AUAUGCCAUUCAAGCUAAGGGGUGCUACACUUGACCACUGCGGUAGUAUAGAUGAGUCUGAAGAAUGGUAUGGGAUGGAUACUUUUGAAUGCACUGGAGUAGGGGUCUCUAUCCACAGGGCCACAGAGCCGGAGAUGAGCAGUGGCUGGAUCUACCAUGAAAGACUUCAGAGUCCGGAAAGAGAGACUGACUGGGCAGCAUGUUAUUCAGUUACAAAAAGACUUGGACUAUGACUCAAAAAUGAUCAAAUAAUAGUUCAUGCAUCAAAUGCAAUAGGAAGCAUUUCUGGAGGGUGAGAGAAGCAUCCAGUUAAGCAAGAAGAACUUUUAGUAAAUUACAUUCCUUACAGACAAACAGAAGGCAAAUAAACAAUGUUGUACAGGAACUUCAACACACACUGUACAAUAUUCCCACUUUGCUGAUGUCAGUUAUGGAAAUUCUUCGUGGUUUACUUGACUAUCGCCAUCAGUAUUUUGCAUCUCUCAUCAUUUUUGUCAACUUCCUCAUCUGCUAACUUCUCUCCAAGGGUCUUGGU
rnacentral:sRNA from 1 species